CGACUCUGCUCUUCUGUUCUGAAGAUGUGAGUGAACUGUGCUUGUGAGCAGGGAAACCAGCAACAGUGGAGUUCAGCUUCACGCACCUUGGGGAAUGAUUUUUAAGAAAGGAUGGAAAAUGCCCUUCCAGGCACAUCGUCACGUUGGUGAUACGCGCACUGCAGCAUUCAGCUGCCAAGGGAAGAGUUGGGGAUGACUGAAUGGAGCUGGGUAUUUACUGGCCUGAUGCC